rnacentral:rRNA from 1 species
CAGCCGUAAACUAUGCGCGUUAGGUGUACUGGUGACCACGAGUCACCGGGGUGCCGAAGGGAAACCGUGAAACGUGCCGCCUGGGAAGUACGGUCGCAAGGCUGAAACUUAAAGGAAUUGGCGGGGGGAGCACCACAACGGGUGGAGCCUGCGGUUUAAUUUGGACUCAACGCCGGAAAUCUCACCGGAUAGGACAGACAUAUGAUAGUCGGGCUGAAGACUCUACUUGAUGAUCUGAGAGGAGGUGCAUGGCGUCAGUGACU